GCAUACAGCCACACCAGCUUGGCAAUUCCUGAUCUUGCGUGAUCUCAGAAGCUAAACAGGUUUGGGCUUGGUUAGUACCUAGGUGGGACCCUGCCUGGGAAUUCCAGGUGCUGUAAUCU
ensembl:rRNA 5S_rRNA 5S ribosomal RNA